rnacentral:rRNA from 1 species
UACGGGGGGGGCAAGCGUUGUUCGGAAUUACUGGGCGUAAAGGGCUCGUAGGCGGCCAACUAAGUCAUACGUGAAAUCCCUCGGCUUAACCGGGGAACGUGCGUCUGAUACUGGAUGGCUUGAGUUCGGGAGAGGGAUGCGGAAUUCCAGGUGUAGCGGUGAAAUGCGUAGAUAUCUGGAGGAACACCGGUGGCGAAGGCGGCAUCCUGGACCGAUACUGACGCUGAGGAGCGAAAGCCAGGGGAGCAAACGGG